rfam:Triticum aestivum genome assembly, contig: Triticum_aestivum_CS42_TGACv1_scaffold_320504_4BL
GUUGUACUCCCUCUGUUCAGAAAUACUUGUCAAAAAAAUGGAUAUAUCUAGAUGUAUUUUAGUUUUAGAUACAUUCAUUUUUUUUACAUUUCUACGACAAGUAUUUCAGGACGGAGGGAGUAGUAC